rnacentral:misc_RNA from 1 species
GAUGAAGAACGUAGCGAAAUGCGAUAAGUAGUGUGAAUUGCAGAAUUCAGUGAAUCAUCGAAUCUUUGAACGCACAUUGCGCCUUCUAGUAUUCUGGGAGGCAUGCCUGUUUGAGCGUCAUUAAACCUCUCUCAAGUAUGAUUACUUGGAUGUGAAGGAAGAGUACCUUAAACUUAAGGAGUGUUCUCCUUUGAAAUUGAUUAGCAGAUGGUAAUGUUAUUAAAUCCCUGAUGUUGUAAGAAAUAACAGUGGUUUUGUAGACUAUUAUCUAGCUUUACAUUAUAAUUUUUAUUAUGGUUGACCUCGAAUCAGGUAAGGAUACCCGCUGAACUUAAGCAUAUCAAUAAGCGGAGGA